rnacentral:rRNA from 1 species
AUGAUGAUCUGGAAAGCUAAUGUUCCUCAGAGAAUCCAGAUCUUUCUCUGGUUGCUUGUGAGAAACAAGCUACUUACCAGAGACAAUCUUUUGAAAAGACAACAUGUAGCUGAUACUACCUGUCUGUUCUGUAAUGAAGCGGAAUCGGUUAAUCAUCUUUUUUUUGAUUGUGUGGUUGCGAGAGAACUCUGGGGAGAGAUUUUUAGCCCCAUAGGGAGCAACAUCGAGCUUAUCUCGCAUGGGCUUCUGAAUUGGUGGGCUAGAAAUGACAACAAAACAGCAGAUAUUAUGCUUCAUGCAGCUGCAUUAUGGACUCUCUGGAGAUAUCGUAACGAUAUUUGCUUUAGUGUUGUGCCUUGGCUUGGGAUGCAGGUUAUGUGGCAAAAGGCAGCUUCCUUUUUAACCUUGUGGGAGAUCAGGUGCGCGGAUUCCGCCAAGAGGAGAUGUCGUCUCCUGGUGCAAAGGAUGGAACAUUUGGCGCGAGCACCGCCUCUCCUCCUUUGGCCAGACCCUGGCUAG